UACGAAGGGGGCUAGCGUUGCUCGGAAUGACUGGGCGUAAAGGGCGCGUAGGCGGUGCGUCCAGUCAGGUGUGAAAUUCCCGGGCUUAACCUGGGGGCUGCGUUUGAUACGGGCGGGCUUGAGUUCGGAAGAGGGUCGUGGAAUUCCCAGUGUAGAGGUGAAAUUCGUAGAUAUUGGGAAGAACACCGGUGGCGAAGGCGGCGACCUGGUCCGAUACUGACGCUGAGGCGCGAAAGCGUGGGGAGCAAACAGG
rnacentral:rRNA from 1 species